rnacentral:rRNA from 1 species
UACGUAGGGGGCAAGCGUUAUCCGGAUUUACUGGGUGUAAAGGGAGCGUAGACGGCAGGGCAAGUCUGGAGUGAAAGGCAGGGGCCCAACCCCUGGACUGCUCUGGAAACUGUGCGGCUGGAGUGCAGGAGAGGUAAGUGGAAUUCCUAGUGUAGCGGUGAAAUGCGUAGAUAUUAGGAGGAACACCAGUGGCGAAGGCGGCUUACUGGACUGUAACUGACGUUGAGGCUCGAAAGCGUGGGGAGCAAACAGG